rnacentral:rRNA from 1 species
UACGGAGGGUGCAAGCGUUAUCCGGAUUCACUGGGUUUAAAGGGUGCGUAGGUGGGCAAGUAAGUCAGUGGUGAAAUCUCCGGGCUUAACCCGGAAACUGCCAUUGAUACUAUUUGUCUUGAAUACUGUGGAGGUCAGCGGAAUAUGUCAUGUAGCGGUGAAAUGCUUAGAUAUGACAUAGAACACCAAUUGCGAAGGCAGCUGGCUACACAAAUAUUGACACUGAGCACGAAAAGCGUGGGGAGUCAAAACAGG